ensembl:lncRNA
UUUAAGGACCAUCAAGUUUGUGUGUAGAAGUGUUUUAGAAGUGUUUAAGGAUCAUCAGGUUUGUGUGUAGAGGUGUUUCAGAAGUGUUUAAGGAUCGUCAGGUUUGUGGGUAGAGGUGUUUUAGAAGUGUUUAAGAAUCAUCAGGUUUGUGUGUAGAGGUGUUUGUGAAGUGUUUAAGGAUCAUCAGGUUUGUGUGUAGAGGUGUUUUAGAAGUGUUUAAGGACCAUCAAGUUUGUGUGUAGAAGUGUUUUAGAAGUGUUCAAGGAUCAUCAGGUUUGUGUGUAGAGGUGUUUUAGAAGUGUUUAAGGAUCUUUAGGUUUGUGUGUAGAGGUGUUUCAGAAGUGUUUAAGGAUCGUCAGGUUUGUGGGUAGAGGUGUUUUAGAAGUGUUUAAGAAUCAUCAGGUUUGUGUGUAGAGGUGUUUGUGAAGUGUUUAAGGAUCAUCAGGUUUGUGGGUAGAGGUGUUUUAGAAGUGUUUAAGGAUCUUUAGGUUUGUGUGUAGAGGUGUUUCAGAAGUGUUUAAGGAUCGUCAGGUUUGUGGGUAGAGGUGUUUUAGAAGUGUUUAAGAAUCAUCAGGUUUGUGUGUAGAGGUGUUUGUGAAGUGUUUAAGGAUCAUCAGGUUUGUGGGUAGAGGUGUUUUAGAAGUGUUUAAGGAUCGUCAGGUUUGUGUGUAGAGUAGGGCUG